AAAGAAACCCCGGCUAACUCCGUGCCAGCAGCCGCGGUAAUACGGAGGGGGUUAGCGUUGUUCGGAAUUACUGGGCGUAAAGCGCGCGUAGGCGGAUUAGAAAGUUGGGGGUGAAAUCCCGGGGCUCAACCUCGGAACUGCCUCCAAAACUGCUAGUCUAGAGUUCGAGAGAGGUGAGUGGAAUUCCGAGUGUAGAGGUGAAAUUCGUAGAUAUUCGGAGGAACACCAGUGGCGAAGGCGGCUCACUGGCUCGAUACUGACGCUGAGGUGCGAAAGUGUGGGGAGCAAACAGGAUUAGAUACCCUGGUAGUCCACACCGUAAACGAUGAAUGCCAGUCGUCGGAUAGUAUACUAUUCGGUGACACACCUAACGGAUUAAGCAUUCCGCCUGGGGAGUACGGUCGCAAGAUUAAAACUCAAAGGAAUUGAC
rnacentral:rRNA from 1 species